rnacentral:ncRNA from 2 species
CUCGGCCGGUCAGGAGAGAGCCUCGCAACGCGGGGCCGCCGAAGGCGCAGGUCCCCGAAGUCAAGGGCCCGAACGCUCAGGCAAAAGGACUGACGAGG